rnacentral:rRNA from 1 species
UACGUGGGGGGCAAGCGUUGUUCGGAAUUACUGGGCGUAAAGGGCUCGUAGGUGGCCAACUAAGUCAGACGUGAAAUCCCUCGGCUUAACCGGGGAACUGCGUCUGAUACUGGAUGGCUUGAGUUCGGGAGAGGGAUGCGGAAUUCCAGGUGUAGCGGUGAAAUGCGUAGAUAUUGGGAAGAACACCGGUGGCGAAGGCGGCUAUCUGGACCGAUAUUGACGCUGAGGCGCGAAAGCGUGGGGAGCAAACAGG